CUGGAACAACGACAGCAGUUACACCUGUGUCUGUGCACCUGGAUGGGCAGGACGUAACUGCCGCUUAAACAUCAACGAUUGUGUUCAGCACUGGUGCCAAAACGGAGCCACUUGUGUAGAUGAGAUUGAUGGCUACAGCUGCCUUUGUCCCAGAGGAUACAACGGUAGCUACUGUGAGAUGGACGUUGAUAACUGCAUUGGACACCACUGCUCUGAGCACGGCGUAUGUCUAGACCAACAAUACAACUAUACUUGUCGCUGUGAGCUCGGGUUCCAGGGGAGCUACUGUGAGCAGGAGACGGAUGAGUGUAAGAGUUCCCCGUGUGUCAAUGGUGCCACCUGUGAGGAUGUCAUCGGAGGCUAUCAAUGCCACUGCCCCCCAGGGUUUGAAGGGAGAUGGUGCUCAGAGAAUGUUAAUGACUGCUGGUCAAGGCCUUGUUUGAAUGGAGGUUCCUGUAUGGAUCUGCU